AGGGUUUGAUCCUGGCUCAGAACGAACGCUGGCGGCGUGGCUAAGACAUGCAAGUCGAACGGACUAUUUUGAAGAGUAAUCUAAUUUAUAGUUAGUGGCGAAAGGGUUAGUAAUGGAUAGAUAACGUACCCUGGGCUCCGGGACAGCCAUUCGAAAGGGUGGGUAAUACCGGAUAAUAUCGUAAGUCGAUAGACUUAUGAUCAAAGAUUUAUCGGCCUUGGAGCGGUCUAUCUCCUAUCAGCUUGUUGGUGAGGUAAAAGCUCACCAAGGCAAAGACGGGUAGCGGGACUGAGAGGUUGGCCCGCAACAUCGGGACUGAGACACUGCCCGGACCUCCACGGAGGGCUGCAGUAACGAAUAUUGCGCAAUGGGCGAAAGCCUGACGCAGCGACGCCGCGUGUAGGAUGAAGUCCCUCGGGAUGUAAACUACUGUCAGGGGUAAGAAAGUGCACUUCGGUGUAUUGAUCAACCCCAGAGGAAGUCACGGCUAACUUCGUGCCAGCAGCCGCGGUAAGACGAAGGUGGCUAGCGUUGUUCGGUGUCACUGGGCUUAAAGCGUGUGUAGGCGGAAAGGUAAGCGUUUUGUGAAAUCCCUCAGCUCAACUGAGGAAUUGCUUGACGAACUGCUUUUCUUGAGGCAAACAGGGGUGCAUGGAACUCUUGGUGGAGCGGUGGAAUGCGUAGAUAUCAAGAGGAACGCCGGUGGUGAAGACGGUGCACUGGGUUUGUCCUGACGCUCAGACACGAAAGCGUGGGUAGCGAACGGGAUUAGAUACCCCGGUAGUCCACGCCGUAAACGAUGUCUACUAGGUUGUGGGAGUUCUGACACUUUCACGACCGAAGCAAAAGUGUUAAGUAGACCGCCUGGGGAGUACGGUCGCAAGGCUAAAACUCAAAGGAAUUGACGGGGGCUCACACAAGCGGUGGAGCAUGUGGAUUAAUUCGAAACAACGCGCAGAACCUUACCUGGGCUUGACAUGCUUGGAUGCCUACCUGGAAACAGGAUAGGUUGCCCUUCGGGGUGAAACUUGCACAGGUGCUGCAUGGCUGUCGUCAGCUCGUGUCGUGAGAUGUCGGGUUAAGUCCUUUAACGAGCGAAACCCUUGUCGUUAGUUACCAGCGGGUCAUGCCGGGAACUCUAACGAGACUGCCGGUGUUAAACCGGAGGAAGGUGGGGAUGACGUCAAGUCCUCAUGGCCUUUAUGUCCAGGGCUUCACACGUGCUACAAUGGCAACUACAGAGCGAUGCGAUGCCGCGAGGU
rnacentral:rRNA from 1 species